AGAGUUUGAUCCUGGCUCAGAUUGAACGCUGGCGGCAUGCUUUACACAUGCAAGUCGAACGGCAGCAUAGAGAGCUUGCUCUCUGAUGGCGAGUGGCGAACGGGUGAGUAAUACAUCGGAACGUGUCCGUUUGUGGGGGACAACCACCCGAAAGGGUGGCUAAUACCGCAUAAGACCUGAGGGUGAAAGCCGGGGACCGCAAGGCCUGGCGCGAACGGAGCGGCCGAUGACUGAUUAGCUGGUUGGCGGGGUAAAGGCCCACCAAGGCGACGAUCAGUAGCUGGUCUGAGAGGACGACCAGCCACACUGGAACUGAGACACGGUCCAGACUCCUACGGGAGGCAGCAGUGGGGAAUUUUGGACAAUGGGGGCAACCCUGAUCCAGCCAUGCCGCGUGCGGGAAGAAGGCCUUCGGGUUGUAAACCGCUUUUGUCAGGGACGAAAAGGUGCGGGUUAAGAGCUAGCACUGAUGACGGUACCUGAAGAAUAAGCACCGGCUAACUACGUGCCAGCAGCCGCGGUAAUACGUAGGGUGCGAGCGUUAAUCGGAAUUACUGGGCGUAAAGCGUGCGCAGGCGGUUGGGUAAGACAGAUGUGAAAUCCCCGGGCUUAACCUGGGAACUGCAUUUGUGACUGUCCGACUGGAGUAUGUCAGAGGGGGGUGGAAUUCCAAGUGUAGCAGUGAAAUGCGUAGAUAUUUGGAAGAACACCGAUGGCGAAGGCAGCCCCCUGGGGCAAAACUGACGCUCAUGCACGAAAGCGUGGGGAGCAAACAGGAUUAGAUACCCUGGUAGUCCACGCCCUAAACGAUGUCUACUGGUUGUUGGAGGGUAAAACCUUCAGUAACGAAGCUAACGCGUGAAGUAGACCGCCUGGGGAGUACGGUCGCAAGAUUAAAACUCAAAG
rnacentral:rRNA from 1 species